GGUGAAAGGGUCAGAGUUUCAUCCCUCUCUUCUAUUGCCAGCUAACUGCACUGGAAAGCACAGGUUCUCAGCCUCUUCUGUCUUUUGGUGGGAAUCCAUGUGGUGGGACAGAGUACGCAGCAGCACAUAUAGUAUGGCUGAGAUGAGCAAGCUACAGCUGGGAACCACAAAGCAUCCUCUGAAGCAAUGGAGAAUUACCAGAUACAGAGGGAGCACCAGAAACUCUUCCAGCAAAGCACAAAGACGGGGGUGAGUCAGUCUUGCACGGUGGCUGGUGUGAAAGGGGGAUGUGCAUGUGAAGGUCAGUCCCCCACAGUGAUGGUGAUGAUGCACCGCUAAAUUCAAUCUUCUGUCCCCACUAUAGCAACCAGUCUGGGACAACUAUGAAACUGAUCUGGGGCAGCUCCUGGUGGAGAGCCUGACUGCCCAGCCCUGGUAAUACAGGUGGUGGGAGGCAGGAGAGCCUCCUGCAGGAGCUGGAGUGCCAGGCUGGGGGGGGGCAAGGAAAGCUGUGCAGUGUCAGGAAGGAGGAACAAAAACAUACAACCAAAAGCAGCAUCCUCUGUCUAAACUUUCACUUUUGUGGAGGGGUUGCAAAGCUACUUCCUGGAUGCAAACAAAACAAGCUUUGAAUUGAUGUUGAAAGUGAACUGGCAUUUACACUUCCUUACAUGUUGUAUGUGGGUAUGUAGCUGAUACACAGGGCCUUGUAUUACAUCCACAAAUGGGCAGGGUGGAGGAACACGUACUGAUUUUCUGUGACUCUGAGAACUACUUCUGUUUUUAGUUUUGAGGAGUGGAGUCACAGACCUGCGUUUCAUAUCCUAGAAACCUCAGCACUUUUCUGAUGCCUUAGUCAGGACGUUAAAUGGGGACUCAGAACUACUGCUGUUUCUCACUGUUCUUACAAGAACAGAACUGAUGAAGGUUUUAGUUUCCCUUUGUUUCAGGACAUCAGUGAUGGUAUUUUCCUUCCCUUUCAACCUCAGAAGAAGCUCAGCUCCACCCUGCGCAGUGAAGUACGUAGUCAGGGAUGUAAUCUGAUUUGGCUUGUAUUUUUGUUCUAUUAGCGUCAAUGCCCUAGACCCUUUCUGUGUAUAUUAUGCAGACAUCUGCAUUCUCAAGCAGAGAAAACAGCUGGGAUUUCUGAGUUGGGAUGGAAGGAACGGUGGUUUGACUGGGAAGUUCAGAGGUUUGGUGUUACUGCCUUCCCUGGAUGUCGCCUGAGAACUCUGUCAGAGGCAGUUUGCAACCAGAUGGAUUUCUGACUUGAGCCUUUAGCAGCAACAGUUCCCAUAGCACUGCCUUUGACAUCUUAGUGUUGGUACUGUUAGCUAGCUCCAGUGACCCUCUGUUCCUUGGCCAUCAGGGUGUAUAGAUUUCUAUUCCCCAGCGUUCUGCUUAGCUGCAGUGUGGCGUUGGUAGCACAGCACAGUGAACAAGAUCAUGGAAGGUGUUCUGACUGGAACAUGAAGGGUGAGGACAGAGCUGGGCCAAGAGUAAUAUAAAAUCACCACUAAGGCAGCAAGUGGAAAUGAAUUUAGAGCAAUAAAAGAAGUAGAAGGGAAACGAGCUCAAACUGAAAAACUGAAGACUAGUGUAUGUUGACAUUGAGAGCUAAUCUGAAAUGCAGUCAUUCACUAGGAGAGUAACAUGAAUGAAAACCUCAGCAUCACAAUGAGCAAAGUGUGUUAUAAAUUUCAAGUACUUUGCUCAUGUAAUCAGCUGGUAUGACUCAGUAUUGCAGAGCCCGGCACCAGGCAAGCAAGAGGCUCUCAAAGCUAUAACAGCACUCCCAACAGGAACGCUUCCUUGGUUUCCUCCACCAGCCCAUAUAGCAGUGUAUAACUGUUGUUUUGGAGCUGUGGAAGGAGAGGGAACAAUUGAGCCGUUGAUAAGGUCUGUAUGAUCUUGUGUGGGACAGAAAUUCAGGUGUCUACAGAUGCCUACAGAUCUAUAGACUGAGGAGAAUAAUUUAAACAAGACUUGCUUGAUGACAGUUUUCCACUCCUCAGUCCUGCUGUGCCCACGUAGACUCCGGAGCAGGCAGCUGCAUCAUGGGGUCAUGAAAGCUCUGAAAGAGGCCUCCCCUCUGCUGUUCAGAACACCAGAAGAUUUUCAUUCCUGACUGGCAGCACGGUUGUGGUCUUUGCAUUCAGACAUGCUUGGUCUUCUGCUGGAAGUGAUUCUUCUUCCUAGAAAUCCCAAAUAGAGUGAAAAAUGCAGUGUUUCUACAGAGAGCCAUCUCAACUGCCAUGUUAUGAACGACAUGGAUGACUGUUUUGCUGCAGGGAUAGAAAGAAACUCUCAGAGAAAGGAACAACCUUCCAUCUAUGGCAAAUUGCUCUAUCUUUUUUUCUUUGUAAUUUUUUCUCUGUCAUUUGGAAUAACCUUGAUAUGUUUCAGUGUGGUUUUGUCUUACUCUAAGUGGAAGUGAAUGUUGGUUUCUCAACAGCGUUUUCAAGUCAAGAACUCUGCUUUGAGGAAAAGCAUUUGACCAACUCCUCUUAGGAUUUCAUGGGUCGGUGCAUUUUCUUCUUAUAACUCAUCCAGCCAAAACCCAGGACAUGCUCAUGUGCAGCCAUAGUGGGGUGGCAAGAAUGAAAGGCAAAUCUUCAUAUUGUAUUUAUGGGGAGGGAAGGUAAAUUUGAACGUGAAAUUAAUGCCUUGUUCCUAUCCUACAGAUAGAGAGGAUUUUGCCAGCAAGAGACAGCUCUUGUAGCCUUGAGUAUCACCUUGGCCCCUCACAUUUAGGUGGGCUUCGAGGGGGUGUAGUGGCAGGACAUAAGAUGGAGAGAGGUGCAUGUCUUUUAUUUAAGGAAUGAAAGCUUUCAGUUAGUGUUUGGGAGAAGAAAAAGAAUAGCACUGCUAUGGUAUGGAUAGCAUGACCAGUUCUUCUUUCCUGCCAGGCUGUUAAAGGCUCAUUUUUUGGUAGGCUUUUAGAGAAAACCUGAGCCUUAUGGCUCUCUUUCUCAAAUAACAGAAUGUUUGAAAACAUUAUGAUAGAGCAAAUGCGUUUGAUCUCAUACCUGGUAUGGGAAAGGACCUCUCAAGCUCACUGCAGGUGCAGAGGGGGCUCAGAUCACUUCAGUGAGAUGUGACCAGGCCAUGAGCUUGGCAAGGAUCUGUGGGGUUUGCCUGGGCAAACAAAACACCCUUCACGGAAUACCUUGGCACCCUAAUGGUGAAAAGUGCUGUUCAAAUCUUAGGCUUCAUUUUUCCAGUUUGCACCAGUGAAGUGACUUGAGGACUGGCUUGACAGCAUUUUGAAAGCUCAUUUCUGUGUGUCUAAGAACAGUGAUGGUCUCUGUUUUCCCCUCGGCAGACUCAGCCCCAGCUGACCUCUCCAGGAUUAUGAAUGGGAGCGGCAGUGCAGUGCAGCGCCUGACUCCUCGGCUGUGUGUCAGCCGUGCAGCUCUGAUGUCAGUAACUCCUCACCUCCUCUGACCCCACUUGGCAGCACAUGCUCUUGCCCAAAUAAGCAGCUCGUUUGCUUACAUGCCAAGCAAAUAGCCCCGAAAAGCCGAUACUGCUUCUUUUGAAGUACUUGUUUAUUUCCAAGAUCAGAGACACUGCGUUUUUCAGGCAAGCCACUCUGAAAUUCCUGUUGGAGCUGUUAACUCCUGUUUCUUCUCUGAGAAUCCAGUUGCUUCCAUUUUUUUUCCCUUCAAUGCCUGAGCAGCACUGCAAACUGCACCGGUGUUGAAACUUCCCAGGGUGGUUCCUCCGAUCACUUAUAGCUGUUUUCAGAUGAGAUCAUCUGCUAGAUGCUUUCGAAGUUUUAGUCUUAUUGGAGGGAGUGACACCCUUGCUACCCUGGAAAUCUCCAUUGGACAGGUUGGUUCAUGGUGGGGGCAGGCACAUGAACUAGGCACCAGAAGAAAAAGCACCUUUACUUUUCAGCAUCCUGAGAGGAUGUGUUAUUUCAGAUUUCUGAAUACAGAGAAAUAAACAAACUGUAUUACAGGAAGUUCAGAAAAUGUAAGAGCAUAAGAAGCCUCCUUGUCUAGGGCUUUUCUGCUAGUCUCCCAGGCUGUUUAUUGUUAUAACAGGCUUCUAUUAUCUGCUCCCACAUCUACUCAAGUAUAGUAUUAAAGACUUCACAGUACUCUAGUUUACAGUAUAUAGUAUAUGUGGUAUAUAGUAUAUAUUUUAUAAUAGCAACUGGCAUCUGUAAAUGAUUGUCAUAUCAGAUGAAGGAAGCAUAAACUAGGUUAAAGUUAUUUAAAUUUUUGGUGAUUUCCUCCUCCUGCAUGGUAUUCUUUUAAUCCAGGAUUAAAUUCUAAUUGUGGCUAAGUACUUGGAAAGCUCAUCAAUUUGAAUGAAAGUUUUAGGAACCCAGCGUUUCUGAGGUUUGAAUGAGAAGCUGUGGGGUGUAAUCCUUACUAGUUGUAACUUCUGGGGGUUUUGUGCCAAGCAAGCACAACGUCGGUAGAAGGAAAGAAAAAAGAAUCCUCUUCUCUGACAUGAUGGCAGACAAUAAAUGAAAGUAUGGUGUCUUGGGGUUUGCUCUCACUUUUGCUUCCUGAACGUAAUCUCACCUGAACACACUAAAAUAGAAUUCUGUGUUUCUUUCAUAGUUUGAAUGUUGGAGCUGAACGAGAGAAUAAAACACAUCAUCAAAAAGGUGACUCGCACCUUCCUCACCACGGUCAGAAUAAACCUGUGUGUAGUUUUACACUACGCAAGAGGCAUAAGUGAAUGUUUGCUUUGUUCUGGUAAUGGGUGCUUGAUGAUGUGAGUGAACAAAACUUAACUGAAGCCAGUGUAGCUCUAUCAUACUGCUGCCUGUAACCAGUUGCCCCAUAAAUACAGUUGUCACCACUGCUGUUGCACUCUGGCCUAUCUGGAACUGUCUUUUAUCUGGCUUAGCUGUGACAGCAGGUUUGGGUGGUUGUUUUUUUGUUGUUGUUGUUGUUGUUGUUGUUUUAUUUUGUUCUUAUGAUUGGAUAACUAUUUCCUGAUUUGUUUUACUUGCUUUUGCAAUUGUGAUAUAACCAUACCUUUUGUAUGGAUAGGAGUAGUAAGUGGCUCUUCUGUGUAGAAUGUAGAAUUAAAUACUAAAUUUGCAUCACUGCAGCAUAGGAGAACACAGUCCUGCUUUCAUAAAAGUAGACACUGCAAGCAGCGUGCAGCUAGCACAGUCGUUCCCAUUUAUCUGUUGAUGUAUUUUAAGCAUUACUGGCCUCAUCCAAUGUUUAUAGGAGGUUAGGGUGACCAUUAGACAAAACUCUGCAUAAAUCAUUUCAAUAAGUCUAUUUUCUUGGAAGCAGUGAACAAACACACGAUCUGAUUUUGGAAGAUCAUUUCUUACUGACAUGAAAUGUGUUUUCUUACUAUGUCAACAAGGUCCAUAGACAUAACUCAUCAUGACAAGGUUAUUCUUUUCAAGGCUAAGUGCUGUCUUGUUGGAUACAGAUGAUUUUUUUUAAUUUAUUUCUUUUUUUUAAUUUGAUAGGGAUUAUAAAGAAAAGAGCAAAGUGGA